rnacentral:rRNA from 1 species
UACAGAGGCCCCAAGCGUUGUUCGGAUUUACUGGGCGUAAAGGGUGCGUAGGCGGUCGGGUAAGUCUGUUGUGAAAUCUCAGAGCUCAACUCUGAAACUGCAUUGGAUACUAUUCGGCUUGAGGUCUGGAGGGGAGACUGGAAUUCUCGGUGUAGCAGUGAAAUGCGUAGAUAUCGAGAGGAACACCAGUGGCGAAGGCGAGUCCCUGGACAGAUCCUGACGCUGAGGCACGAAAGCUAGGGGAGCAAACAGG